GACAGAGGGUGCAAACGUUGUUCGGAUUUACUGGGCGUAAAGCGUGUGUAGGCGGCUUGGCAAGUUGGAUGUGAAAGCCCACGGCUCAACCGUGGAAGCGCACCCAAAACUGCUUCGCUCGAGUCUCGGAGAGGAAGGUGGAAUGCUUGGUGUAGAGGUGAAAUUCGUAGAUAUCAAGCAGAACACCUGCGGCGAAGGCGGCCUUCUGGACGAUGACUGACGCUGAGACACGAAAGCGUGGGGAGCAAGCAGG
rnacentral:rRNA from 1 species